rnacentral:lncRNA from 1 species
UUACAGUAUUAGGGAACACCCACUUGACCCCAACUAAGCCCAACACUAAAUCCCAAAGCUCUUUAGCCACUGUACAAUGAAUAAGUAAGUGAUCCACGCUUUCCGCUUCGCAAGCACACAAAAAACACCUAUUCGAGAGCUGCCAACCUCUUUUUUGGAGCCUAUCAAGAGUCAAGAUCUUUCCCCAAGUCGCUUCCCACGUGAAAAACAUGAUUUUAGUUGGGAAUCUUCCCACCCAAAUCUUGUUUUUCGGAAAGUUGACCUCCAUAGACCUAUCCAGCCAGCUGUAUGCAUCUUUCACUCUAAACUGCCCACUUCCCCCUCCUUUCCAAAAAACAGAGUCAUCCUCCCAAGUUAUCCUAACUCCUCUCAACGCUUGGAGCAACUCACCUACCAACUCCACCUCCCAAUCAUUGAAAUCCCUUAUAAAACACAAAUUCCAGCCUCCUUCCCCAACAUUCUGGUCCCACAGGUCUUCAACCUUUGCAUUUCUGUUGGCUGCCAAGGUAUAGAGAUGCGGGAACCUUUGGGACAACGCUGAAUCCCCGCACCACACGUAAGUCCAGAAGCUGAUUUUAUUACCUUUCCCCACCUUGAACCCCAUUUUGUCCUAGCACCAGCCAGCUUCCUUUAAGAUCUCCUUCCACACCCCCACACCACACGCACCCACAGCCUUUUUGGUCCUCCAACCAUAAUCCUCCUGACCAUACUUAGCUUCCAGCACAUGCUUCAAAGGGCCUCCUUAUCCGAAGUGAAUCUCCAAGUCCACUUGCCAAGAAGUGCUUUAUUCAUGAUAGUGAACUUCCUUAUUCCCAACCCCCCAUUCUCCUUAUCCCCACACACCACAUCUCACUUAACCAGAUGAGUUUUCCUCUCCAUGAGACCCCCCCCAUAAGAAGUCUCUUUGCAGUUUUUCUAAUCUUCUAACCACAGAAAUGGGCAUACGGAAUAACGACAACUGGUAAACUGGCAUACUACCCAUAGUGCUUUUAAUUAGAGUGAUUCUCCCACCCUUGGAGAUAUAUUGACUCUUCCAAAGAGCAAGCCUCCUUCUCAUUUUCUCUUCUACCCCAUCCCANNNNNNNNNNNNNNNNNNNNNNNNNNNNNNNNNNNNNNNNNNNNNNNNNNNNNNNNNNNNNNNNNNNNNNNNNNNNNNNNNNNNNNNNNNNNNNNNNNNNNNNNNNNNNNNNNNNNNNNNNNNNNNNNNNNNNNNNNNNNNNNNNNNNNNNNNNNNNNNNNNNNNNNNNNNNNNNNNNNNNNNNNNNNNNNNNNNNNNGUAGGAAUCAACACCAGAAAGGUAUUGUUAAUACUCUUGAGGAACAUAUUCUGGUCAUGGAACUCCUUAAACAUCUCCAGAAUUUUCUCCUUGACGAAAUCCCAACAGCAUUGCCAAAAGAAGACCGAGAGCCCGUCAGGACCUGGGGCUUUAUCCCCAUUCAUUUCCAUCAGGGCCGACUGGACUUCACCCUCAAAGAAGGGAGCCUCCAGCAACUCUGCCUCUUGCACACAAAUUUGAUUAAAAGAGAGACUUCCAAUGUCCGCCUUCCACCCCGAACUUUCGGAGAAUUGCUGCUUAAAAGCAUUUACUACCCCCUCUCUGAUUUCCCGCUCCUCUGUCAGUCUGAUCCCAUUAAUUUUAAUUCUAUCCAUGUGAUUAACUCUCCUAUGGGUAGACGCCAUACGGUGGAAAUACCUCGUAUUCCUAUCGCCUGCCUUCAACCAAAGUUCCCUAGACGCCUGCCUCCAGUGAGUUUCUUCCAGAUCAACCCACUUGGCAUAAUCCUCCUUGGCAUCCUUCUUAUAAACUAAUUCCUCCAUUGACAGGCUCCUUUCCUCCUCAACUCUAUCCCAAUACUCCACUUGCUGAAUCACAGCCUCCUUGUUGCUUUCCAGAUUACCAAACUCCUCCCUAUUCCAAACUUUCAGCUUUUGCUUCAGCUCCUUCAAUUUCGCCGAUAAUCUAAAACUGGCACUUCCCCUCACCUCUAUACCCAUCCACCAACUCCGGAUUAAAUCCUUAAACCCCUCGACUUUGAACCACAUAUUUUCGAAUCUGAAGGGGGUAGGCCCUCUCCUCCAACUACCCCCUUCAAGUAAUAUUGGAAAAUGGUCUGAAAUCGGCCUGGGCAACCUCCGCUGACUCACCCUACUGAACUGAUCAAGCCAGCAAGGAGAGACCAGAAAUCUAUCUAGACGAGCCCUUGACACGUUAUUCAGACCCCCAUUCCACGUGAAUGCACCCCCUUGCAAUUGAAGGUCCACAAGGCCUAGAUCAUCUACAACUUCCGCAAACCUCCUCAUAGCUGAAGUUAUUCUCCCUUGCCUGCUUCUCUCACCUUGAGCCAAAGUAAUGUUGAAAUCACCACCUAGACACCAAGGUCCCUCCCAGAUUCCUCUGAUUGCCCCUACUUCUUCCCACAACCACUCCCUUUCAAGUCUAGUAAACGGGCCAUAAACCCCCGUAAAAACCCAAAUCACCCCAUUCUCCAUUGUCCUGAAUCUGCAGGAUAAAGAGAACUGACCCACCUCCCACUCCAGCAACUCCAGAGCUCUUUUAUCCCAGCAUAUCAGGAUACCCCCAGCCGAGCCACAUGCAUUCAAAGCCUUCCAAUCUAAAAAUCUACCCGUCCCUAAACUUCUCACCACCCUAUCAGACAUAAUCUGAAUUUUUGUCUCCUGGAUGCAAAAGAGAUCCACCUUCUGCUUCCUAAAAACUGACUUAAUAACCUUCCUUUUCGUACUGUCGUUCACCCCCCCUACAUUCCAACUUAUCAAUUUGAGAUUCAUUAAACAGGCACCAUCUGCACCCCUUUGCCCUGAAUAGGGCCCUUCUUUUUGCCAUCCCCCUCAUAAUUCACUGAGCAUUCCAGCCUUUUUAGCUCCCUUUCAAACCUCGAUUUUUCCAAUAAACCUUUACUAUGAAUCUUUUCCCUUCUUUUCCUGAUUUUAGACAGGAAAUUUAAAAUCUCCUUCUCCAGCCCAUCAGUCGAAAAACCCAGGAAAUGGCUAAAUCUUGCUAGGCUGCUUUCUUGCCAAUCCAGGUCCUCUUCCCCCCUUUCUUCUUGAAUCUCAUUCUGAGAAGACCCCCCCUCCUGCUCCCUUGUCGUUGCUAGGGAUCCUUUGAAUUCAACCAGCUCCCAACAAACACUAUCAUUCGCUAUGGUGCCAUCUGCCUCUUGCCCUUGAGAAUCUCUAUCAUUUUGGCAGAUCUCCCUAAUAUCCCCAGAAUGGUCAAAGAACUCCCCCUCAGGAGUCCGACCAAGAGUAAGCAUAGAAGAAGAAGAAGAAUUCCCGGAUACCCAUAAACCCCCUGAGAAUGAUAGGGCCUCAUACCUCAUAACUUCAUUCUGGAGGGCACUGUCCGCCACCUCCUCGAGUGUAUUGGCCUUCUGAGCGAUCUCAGUUUCCAUCUCCCUUACUCUUAGGAAUUCUAACUCAAUGUUGGCAUCUCCAAGCAGCUCAGACUGAGCCAAGGCCUCCAACGGGCCUGAAUUAGGCUUGCUCACCUUCGGACCUAUUCUCUAUGGCGGCCCACCUCGUUGUGCCCCCUUCUGCUGAAGCCCACUCAAAGACGGCCCACUGAACACUCUUUGGUCCAUAGAUGACCCAGCACGUGGCCCAUAGCUCUCCUCUAAAACUUUCUCUUUGCCUUUUGGGCCUUUCGAUCUGCCCUUCGGCCCAAGCCCACCACUGCUAACUGCAUCUGAUCCAGACAUUGGAGUUGGGCUAGGCCCCCCGUCCCUCCUAAGGCUAAUGCACACAUUGGACCCAUUAGGCCCACUCGGGAACGACCCCUCAUCCGCCCCAACCUCUAACUCCCGGAUCAAAAUCCGAAUUCCCCCUUUAGAAAUGUAUUGUCUUUUCCACAUUGCUAAUCUCUUUCUGAACCUUUCUUUGACCCCGUCCCAAGCCACCACCGAGUUAUGGGCAACUCCUUGAGAGAGCCCUAAAUAAGUGGUUGGGAGCACACUCACUUUGCAACCAAUUACAGCAGCCACUCCACUACAUUCAACACACUCCCAACCAAAAUAAGCUCACUCUUAUCAAAAUUGAUUUUAAAACCCAAAAUGGUUUCAAACCACAUAAGUAACCAAUUCAAAUAAGUGAUUUGGGAAGAGGUAGUGGUGCAAUAGAAGGUUUGUUUCAAAACAAAACAGAAAAACACUCAAGAACCAACACAAAGAUCACAAUAGGAUCUGAAAAUUAGAGAAUAAUUCUCAAAAAAAUAUAUUGAACUUCUCUUUAACAAUUACAAUGAGCCUUUAAAUAAUGUUUGUAAUGCAAAAAUAAAUGAAAUAACUGAAAUAGGAAACCAGAAACAGGAAAGCAAGGUAAUUGGAAAUUAGGAAAACUAGGAAAGAAAUAGGACACUAAUGAUGAACCUACAAUAGAAACUAAUAAUGUAGAAAAUAGAAACUAAUCUAAAAUAGAAACUAAUGAUGUAGGAAACUAAAAAUAGAAACUAAUGGAAAUUGAAACUAAACUGAAAUAGACACUAAUGAUGAUUGUGUGCUGCAUCAGGUGGCCUCAUAAAAAACCAAAGUAUCAUUUGUGAACAACAAAUGGGAAAUCUACAAGCCCUCCCCAUUUCUCCCUAAUACUUUGAAACCAGACAAAUAACUACCCUCUCUUGCCCUUCCAAGAAGGCAACUAAGCGCCUAGCUAGAACAAACAAGUACGGAAAUAACGUGUCCCCUUGCCUUAGGCCCCUAGAGCUUUGAAAAAACCCCAAGGGAGUACCAUUUACUAACACCAAGAACCUUGGAGUUGACAUGCACCAACUAAUCCAAACACACUAACUAUUUGUUAAGAUAUCUCUAAAUCUCAAACCCAAACACACUAAAUAUUUGUUAUUACCAAAAAAAUAGAACAUCUCAUGGGCAUAGUACAGAAACUUAUGAGAAACUGCUACUUCAUACAGCAGUAUGUCAAGUUCAAUCAUGGAUUAUCCAUAUCAAAUGAGAAUCACUUAGAUGCAGGCCCUUUUAAGGAUAGUCCAUGGCUGGAUUGAAUCAUCCAGUGUAUUGAAAGGAUCAUUUCACCCAAAACAAAUGUAGACAGAGCAUGGCAGAAUGAUUAGUAAAAGCAUAUUGGCAGUCACAUAAUUACAUGCAAAACCGUCAUGGUAAACCAAUUUAGGGAUAUUUAUGCACUUAUUGCUAAAAUUCACUAUUGUUCCCAACUAGUUUAUCAGAUGAAGAAAACAUAACAAUUAUCCCAAAUAAACAAUAGUUUCCAAAGUGUUUUCCUAUUCAUAAGAUAUUCCAAAUAAUUCUACAUAAUUCAACCUAACAAAGAUUGAAUCUCAAUGACUUGGUGUAUGCAUUGCCUAGUUGGUCCAACAACAUACACAUCAUCUCCUCUAACUCAUUUGGGAUAGUUUCUUGUUUUUGGCUUUACCUGAAAACUGAAUCUAAAGCUAAAUGUCACGGACUUAGUCUUUUCCUAAGCUCGUGCGGCAUUUAGACAAGCCAAGACCCUUAAUCUUGCUAAGUCAGCCUUACUCUCAAUGCUUAGCUUGCUAGGCUAAGACGCUCACAACUCGGAAGCUUUAGAAGGCGUAGUAGGCAACUCUUAAAGAAUGGAAGUUGUUAUUACUAAAAGAAGCCUUUACAAGUGCUUUUGGGACUCACUUGCUUGGUUAGGAAGUGAUUUGGGUGGUGCCUUGGCCAAAUGAGGCCCUCACCUAUUUAUAGACACCAAUGGAACUCUCUGGAACCUUGGAGGGUUCCUUACAAAUCAAGAAGAUUCUAGAAUACCCUACACAAUUCUAUGUACAACCCUAUGUACAAGAAAUCUCUAGAAUUCUCUAGAAAGUCUUGGACUCCUCUCAUGCCUUCCACCAUAGUGUAGAGAUGUGGGGACAUCUCUAGGCAUCUCUAAAACCUUCCACACUCUUCCCUCCAAUGGCCUAGUGUAGAUGGCUCCAGGAGUCUCCAGAAGCUUCUUGGGCUCUAUAUAAACCCAUGAGGAGGCUCAUUUGAAGCAUUCUAUGACAUAUGGCCCUAAUUAUAAAGUGAGAGGCCUGGCACUAUGAAAGUUUCAUUGACAUGAAACAGUUUUCCACAUAAGCAAAAAAGAAGGCCAUGAAACCAACAUUUUUCUUUACUUCCUAUUUAACUAUUUUUUAAAUCAGAAGUUCUUUCUGAUAAAAUGACCUAAAUACAUACAAAAGUAUUGUCGGCCUUAAAAAGAGUUCUUUGGCUUCAAAAAUGUCAACCCAAACAGGUCUUAACAUGUAUUUUGUUUGUCUCUCAAAUUAAAAUCCAUUAUAUAUUCUCCUAACCUCAGCUAGUAACUACAGAUAUGAUGACUAUAACUGUGAUUUCAUCUCAAAAAGAAAAAUAGAAAUGAAGAAAAUGAAGCAUCCUUCGAGCUGAACAGGAAGAAAAUACAAACAAGAGAUUAAGAAAAUAUUGCAUAAUCUUCUACUUUGUAUUUUCUCUUUCCUCUUAUUAUAGAAACCAUUACUUGCAGUCAACAGCAAUCCAAAAUCCAGUUAACGCUGGUUUUUAAAAUUCUUAUUCCAGGAGUUAUUAAGGGUUACAACAUCAAAUCACCAGUGGCAGAUCCAUCCAAAAGCUUUUAAGGAUAAAAACUGUUAGCAUCAAGCUAAGUAAAUAUUCUGCAUCAUGAAAUAUAGCAUGGAAUACCAUCAAUAUCAUCCCCAUGACCAUCAAUAUUCUGUGGAGGCGGGCCUAAGGCCUUUUAAAGACAGCAGGGGAAAUGAAGGGAGCUUGGGCUCCUCUUUGGGCCAGGCCUUAGCCCUCUCUUCUAAGGCUUCAACUGAAAGCCAAUCUGGGCUUUGAGUGUCUCUCAGAUAAGUUUGUUGCCUUCAACAACUUUUUGGGUUUUCCAGUGACAGGGUUUGAGAAGGAGAUCAACUCCCUCAAAAAAUUGGAGACCAGAAGAGAGCAUGGUGUUAUGAUUGCUGGGGGAAAGAAGAAAUCACCUUUGGCUACUUGUUUGGAGAAGGAGAUCAGAAAGCUAGAAUGAUCAGUCAAUUACAGUGGCUCUCCCAACUCAUCCAGGGGAAGGGGGGUUGCGGGGUAUGUGCCCCUUCUAUUUGAGGUCGCACUCUUCGUGUGGCAGCUUGGUGGCAGGAUUUGGGCCCUUGUUGGUUUUUAUGGGUUUGCUUUGGUGUGGGUUGUGCGUUCAGUGAUGUUCUUUCCCAUAGAGGAAAGUUUGAUUGUUUUUUAGGUUUUUGUGGUUUGGGAUGGUUGGCAUUUUCUUCUUCUCUCCCUCCCUUGCUAGCCUUUUGGUGUGGGUUGUAUACUUCAUUGUGUACAUGGCUGCGCCAUUUGCGCUUUUAAUAUAUUCUAUCUUUACCUAUCAAAAAAAAUGACCAUCUCCAUAUUGCCAUUACUAACAUGGGUGAAAAUUCAACUAGUUUAUUGUAACUCUAGUUACCUCUUUGAUUAAAUAAAAGAUAGCAUGCAUUUCAAUGCAAGAAGAUUAUAACAAAGGCAAUAUCCGUAUAGCAUGUAAGCAAAGAGAGAACAAUCAUCACAAAUCAACAUUAAGUACAUUGUUUACAAUCAUUUUCAUGUUAUAUAAAUAAUUCCGCCUACCACAAAUUAUUAUUAUUAUUUUUUUUUUUGAAAAAAAAAGAAAGGCUCUGUAUAUGCUCAAUUCAAAAUGCAUCACUUUGAAGCCUAAACUUACAGGUGAUGUGAAAACCAAAGGAUAAGCCGUGUCCGACACUCCAUAUCUAAGUCGGCUAUUUUCUCAAAAAGAGCACGGACUGCACCAGCUACAACUGCAGGAAAGGCCCCAGGAAGAGCCUAAGAAUUAAACAUGUGAGUCAGAAACCUUAACGUAAAAGAGAAAACUCAAUUCAUCCGCAUAACAAUCAUUUUGCUGCCAAGAUAUUCCUUCAAAAAAGCAGCAGGUCAAAAUGAAAUUAAUGAAUAAAACAUGGUUUGUUCAAUAGAAUAUCAUCUAUAGUACCUUGCAGAGGUCAAUAAUAACCAGUGUAUAAUACAUUGGCUUGAAUGGGGGUUGUGGUAGCAAAAGCAACUGCAGGAAAGUUGUAAAUAAAUCAUAGUUGCAUCAAACAUUCUAAAAAGGUAAACCAACAUAAUUAACAUGUAAAAUUAAUAAAGAUAAUAUAAGGAAAUUAUCAGAGAAAAAAGCAUGAACCUAAUAUAUCAUAUCCCUACUGACACACUUCAAACACAAUAUGGAACCUUUAGACUUGUACAAGUGUCAAUAUCAACAACAUCUACUCCACAAUUAUAACCUUAUGCGUAUAUUGAAGGUUACUAUCUAAAAGACUCAACAAAAAACACAGACACAACACGAGCAUAACUGUAACAUGUAUAAUAAUCACAACAUAUAUCAUAGUCAUCAGAGAUUUUUUAUUCCCAAUACAUGUUACAAUUGAAAAGAGAAAGCACAAAUCAGGUGGAGCAAAUGAUGUAGAGGUUGUUGCUCUAUUUACAAACAGAAAAACUGGUAGUGUUAAAAUCUUACCUGGGAGAAUAUUGUCUCAGCCAUAAGAUAUUCAUAACGGAAAGGCACAGGCAAACCGACCAUGUAUGAAGCACAUUCCUUUCGACUAGCUUUGCAUGAACGAAGAAACAAAAAUAAGAACAAUUAAAUCCAAAAUAACCAGGAUUAGAAAAAACCUUUACAAGGAUGAGUAAGGUUAGUACAUAUAAAAACCAAAGAGAAAGAUCAUAAAACCCACAAAAUAACAUCAAGUUGAUCCAACACAUAUAAACACUAGCAACAGGAAGUUGGUAACAUAAGUAAUGUGACGGGCAGAAAAAAAUUAAUCGCUGCUGUAUAAAAUAAAUCCUCUAAAAAGCCUAUUUUUGGCACCAUAUCAAAACAUCCAGUUAGUGUAAUGUCCUGUAUGAGUAUGCCCGCAACAUGAAGAACCUAAGAGACCACCAUUUUUCUGGCCCAAUUCCCACUGGUACUCAUUUGUAUCACUAGAAAAAUUGCAUGAAUGAAAUGGUCCUGAUUAUCAUCAUAUUCGUUUAGAUAAUAAAGUAACUCAGACUGAACCAAUCUCCCCUGGAAUAAGAGAUCAUUCUCCAUUUGACUCUCCAAUUACUCAGUGCAUAAGAAUCACAAAAAACAGGACACAAUAUCGAAACUACACAACAGAAAUCUAUGUGCACACGUAUUCGAAUACAACAAAUGGAUGAUAUAAUCAUAAUUUAAUUCUCAUUUUCCUCCCUCCAUCUAAUCUUAUAUAGUUUUGGAACACAUCCCCAAAGAAUGGUGCUAAAGUCAUCAUAAAAGUCAAACAUUUUGAAUUCAUGUUUCGAACUAUAUGCAUUUCAUAAGUAAAAGACAAAACUCUACUACUAAAAAAUUCCCUACCAAAGUUCAUCUUGUGUAAGCCUUGUUCAUUUUGGCACUGAGUACAAAAUUGUAAGCUAUAUAAUUUCCCAUAAGCAUCCUAUGUAAACAUCCCCUCCCUUACACAAUAAACCACCAGGGAAUCCCCACACAGCAAGUCUGUCCUUGAUAUCAAAAAUUGAAAAUCAUAUUUUAAUUUCUUCCUCAAUUCCACUAAUCAAAUGUGAUGUAUUAGGAGUUAACCUUUGACACAAAUUAAACAUCCAUUUUCAGUUCAUGCGUCAAACAAAGUGUAUAUAGCUUAAAGAGUCACUUUAAGCUAUAAUAUCAGAGAAAAGGUACAGCAAAAACCAAAAGUCAACAAAAGGUAUGUAUCUUAGAUACUGUAAAGAAUUAUCUCCAGUAAUGACUAAAGCUAAAAUCCCAUCCAAUGAAUGUUAUUGACUUUGCAAAUGACACAUCAAGAAAGCAUUCCAUGCCGCCAUAAAAACAAACCAUAACACCAAAUUCCACCCCCACCCUCCAAUUGACCAAAAAAAUAGAAAAUGAUAAUAAUAAUAAUAAUAAUAAUAAUAAUAAUAAUUAAAAAAAAAAAAACAAACAAACCAUAUAGACUAACAAGCAAAAAUAUAUGAUAAAUAAAUUUGACCAGAAAAAUCAAACUCAUAUUAUACAAUUUAUCGUCAAUCAAAUCAGUAAUUAUGCUUUCAAGGAGAUCCCAACAUAAAGACAUUUUUUUUAAUAAGCAAAAAAACAUAUUAAAAGCACCUAGCAAAGGGGCACACCAAAGUGUAAGGGAAGUCAAAAGGCAAAGACCAAUGAGAAGAAAAAAAAAAGACCAAACCCUAUCUUCACUUGCAGCUUAACCAAUCAACUAAGUCUAACAUAGACAUAGAUUACUCCUCUCCUCUAUCCCACUCCAAAAAAUUACACAUAAGGGAGAUUUUAAGCUCUUGAUCUGAAUGCUCCACAUUCUCGAAAAACCUUAAAUUUUUAUCUUUCCAAGUGGUCCAAAGCAAACACAAAGGAGCAUAAAUACACAUCAAAGUUAACACCAUUUCCCCAUUCAAAUCUAUUGCGUCAUUUUGUUAACAAACUUUCGACCGCAUAAAAAAGAUAUGAAAGGAAGUGGGCUUACUCAGUCUAACAUUCAUAACAGUCAUUACACAAUGAGUGUGUGACACUAAUCUAACUUCACAAAUAAAAGUCAAUGAAGUUUACAAACCAGCCAUUGAAGAAGAAAAGCACAUCGAGCAAAUACUCUUCUGCAAUGAAACGAUCUAUAGGUUGUAGAUCCUGCCAUCAAAAGAAAAGAAAAGGUGAGGAUGGGCACCUAAAGGAAAGAACAAACAAAAUAGACUCCACUGACGAUCAAUAACCAAAUUAAAAUGCAAAAGACUUAACAUAUGCACUUCUUCAAACUUUACAUGAGCCCAAACCUUACUAGCAGAAUUGCUAAAGAAUCAGGACUGAACUUGACAUACCAAUAGAGCUCCUGAAUAACUUCAUAUUACUAAAUAUUUGAAAUGCAAACUAAGUAAGAAUGUUAUAACAAAUUCUAGUUCUCACUAAAACAAUUACUAAAAGUCAUUGUUAGAAUAAACACAGACAAUGUACCAAAGGGAGUACUGAAAUUGCAUAAACACAAAACAGUAAUCAAAUAAAUAAGAAUUUCUUAUCAGCCUACUAAAUGAUAUAAUGUCAGACCAAAACCUCCUAUUACUUCUGAAAUCUUUAUUAAUUUUUAAAAAAUAUCCUGUUGCAAGGCUGCAUACUUGAAAACAACGAUGCAAUUAAAUAGUACAAUAAUGACCCUCGGUAUGACAAUAAAAAUAAAGAAUAAAUAAAUGUGAUGUAUGGUGAACUUUAAAAUAACAGGAUUCAAUUAGCAUCCAAUUCAGUUCAUUGUCUCAUCUUCCAUGCAUAAGAAAAAUGUAUUUGAGAUGUUUACAGCCUAUAAAAGUAAUGAGGUCAAAGGUUGAACUUUAUCAAACAUCUCUAAAGGAAAGGAACCAGAUUAUGCUCUACCAGACUUUCAAAAAAAAAAAAAAAAAAAAAAAGGUAUAUUCAUAAUCAUAAUACUUCAAUUUUUCAGAAUAUACUAAACAGAUCAGCAAUUACAGAGAUGGUGUACUACUAAAAGGGUAAGGUUAAAAUAUUUUGAUCAAUUAAGACAUGUUCUCAAAUGUAACUUGAAAUUUUUUUUGUCAAAUUCUCAAAUAGAAUUUUUUUGGGUAAAACAGCUAUUCAAACUAACAAGUAAAUUAUUCUUUGUAAUAAAUCACAGCAGGCUAAUAAUAGAAGUGCCAUUACAAGGGUGAUUAGAUUUAUGUCAGGCACUAAAAUGACAAGAGGUGGGCUAAAAAAGAUUCACUUACAGGUAGUGAGAAACAACAAGAUUGCCAAGGAUUCAAUGGAAAACGUGGCUCUAAUAGGGCUGGAUAUCAGAAAAGGAUCCUUGUAGCCAACCAAAAUAGCUGUGAAGGUUUUCAUGAGUUGAAUUGAAUUAUCCCCAUUUUUUAUAAAUAAACUUUUGUACCCACUGGGACUUGAACCUAGAACCUUUGACAAACCCUCCCCACCCUUUACCCGUUGAGCCACGCCUCAAGGGCCAAGUAGAACGGAAUUAUCAUUGGUUUGUGUUUGAUUCUAUUGGUGCAUUAGGCUAUGUAUCUUAAGAUUGGCAAUUUUGUUUCAUUCAUUCUACCUUAGGAUCUUCCUAAAUUGUGUCUUACUCUCCAUUGAAGACUCAAGAUUGUUGCGUAAUCAACCGGGAUGACAUAGGUAAGGAAAGAAAGGUCUAGGAAAGGCAAAUUAGUGGUUAUUAGGCAUGGUGGGGACCAAGGUUUUUAAAAUUGAGUUAAAAGAAUUUCAAAUUGUUUUCGAAAGCCUCCUCGCGCGCUAAAGCUCUCUAAGGGCACUCGAGCACCAAUGGCAGAAUUCUGGAGAUCCAUCUUUUGCAUUUUUAGAAGGCUUAUUUUCAGGAGUUAUCUAAAUCCAGUCCAUUGGGUCCCUGGGCCUAUAAAUACCUUGCCUAAAAAGGUUUUUGAUAUGAUGCUUCUAAGUUAAAAAAACCUAAUUUGUCUUCUUGUUCCCAAAACUCUCAAAGAAGUUCAUAUUCGCUUUUACUAGGUUGUGAAGGAGAUCUACAUCCUCUCAGGCGCUGAGGUGACAUCUACUGGGAGCACAUGAGGUGUUACGUCACGGAUGUGAAGUGCAAUAUAGGUACUAAAGAGUAAGUCUUAGGGAUAGUUUCCACCAAGUAAAACUGUGUACUGUACUUUUAUAUAGUGGAUUGCAGAUUUGAAGUCUCCGACCCCAUGGUUUUUACAUCUGCACGUUGUGUGCAUGGCUUUCCACAUAAAAACUGUCUCUUAUGUGUUGAUUGCUCUUUGGGUAUCCCUAAUCUAAAAAGAGAGUUAAAUAAUUCAAGUUUUUAUUUUUGGGCUAAAAAGGGUUCAAACACCUAUUCACCCCCUCUAGGUGACAUAUAAUAGAUCAUAUAACUUUUAAUUCAAUUAUCUCAUCAUCUAAAAAGUGUACAGUUAAUUACACCUAAUACUAACUGCCAUUCAUAGAACCAAUGAGUAGUUGUUUUCCCAAAAUUAAAAAAUAUCACACCAAUGUUGUUAUUAAGUCUAUGCAUUAAAAUAUAAUGUUAAAAAAUAAAUUACAAUCUGCACUGGCACUUUAGAGGUUUCUUUCAAGCUUAAUCAACCAAGUAAAGAAAUGGUCAAUAACAGAUCCCAGCAUUUUGAAAGUUCAAUUCAAAAAGCCAGGCAAAAAAUUUUAGAAACAAAAGAAAAAUCCAUGUUCUCACUGAAUCUCCACAACUACAAUUUAAAAGCACCAAGGUUAAAUAAGAGAGCCUCUUAACUGAAUAAAUAUAGAUUCAAAAUUGUAGAUUUCACAUUUAAUUCAUGGCAACAGUAUCAUUUCUGUGACAUCAUGUGAUGCUCAUGCAUAUUAAGCCAACAAAGCAACAAUAUAAACAGGUUCUUCACGAAACUUUAUGCAAUUUUUUAGAAUUCCCUUUCAAUAAGGCAAAAAAGAAAAAGAAAAAAUGAAAACUAACAAGUGAACACAGUAUAUUGUGAGAUAAAUCAGCAUCUGUGGUUAUAAAAUAUCAUGAAAGUUUGGGUCAGAGACAUGCUGCAAUUUUAACAAUGAGAUAAGCAGCACUCUUUCAAGGACCAUUUUACCCUUACCAGAACACAGACAAAUCAACCCCUUUGACAGAAAAGUUCAAUCAACAUAUGCAUGUUUAAGGUAUCAAUGCACACAACAGAUUCAAGAAAGCUGGAGGCACAACUUCAAUGAUGCUUAAUUGUUACGCGAAGCUCCCUCCAGAAAGUCAGCUAAAACUUGCAUUUCUACAAAUCAACUAAAUCCUUCCACGCUACAUUCAGUUUAGAAAGGUUAUAUGCAUUUUGGGGACAUGAAGCUUAAGAUAUUCAUAGAGCUAGUCCAGCUGAAAGAAAAGGCAUAGGAAGACAAUAGCAAUAACAUUGGCAAAGGAGAUAAUGAUAUGCAUAGUACCACAAAGUCCACAGGGUUAACAAAAUGAGAAUUUGCAUGCAAACAAUGAACCUGAAGAGUGAAAACAACACUUCAAAAGGUAUACUAGCGUUAAGUCUUGAAAGAGUAAAAUACCUCAAUUUUAUUUGCAGGAAAUAUAUUAAGCCUGCGAAUCCUUUGAGGAUACUUCAACUCUGCAUCAUGCUUUUGUUUACCACAAGUGAUUCCAGAAAGUGUUGACGGUGGAUCAGGUAGCUCAGGGCAGCUUAGAGGCCCAAAAUCAUGAGACUUUCCAGCAACCAGCUGAGCUUCAAAUGAAAGAUGAGGUCUGGGAACUAGCAAGUAAAAAAAGCAGAAUAUGGAUCAAGCAAUGGAAACGACAUAAAGUAAAAAACUAAUACGACAAAAUAACCAACACAAACCACAUAAUGGAAGAAGAGAUACACAAGGCAAGUGUAAUAAACAUAUGAUAGAAAACUAAACAUUCCAAAUUUGUUCACAUCAAUUAAAAUAGCGCAUUAUUCCCCCUUAUAGUGUUGCAGGAUGAAGUUUCCUUUCUUUUAUGAGAAGGAAUGAACCAAAGUAAAAUAUGAAGGCAAAAAGUAAUAUUACCACUAUCAAGUUUCCACCCAUUGCUAGAUAAAACUUGUAUCCUGCCCCAUAAAUCUUCUAGAAAAUCCUGAAGAAAAAUUCAAAGGCAAAGUUAGGCAUGAAAGCAGCCACAUGGAUAGUUCAAAGGUAAAAAGUUGUCCACCAAUAAGUUUUUAAUUUGAUAGAUGACAUGGUUAAGGAGAUAUUGAUGAAAAUAUUGAUAUUGACAGAAAUUUUGGUAAAAAGUAACAAAAAAAACAUAGAAAUUAACCAAAAAAAUGGAAAUUUUGGAUGAAACUUUGAGAAAUGAUAAAAAAUUAAUAAUACAAAUAUUAAACUAGGUAGGCUAGGGCUUUAACCUUUUAGGGUUUAAGGAAAGAAAUGAGGAAUAAAAAUUAUGGUAGCAAGGAAAAGUAAAAUAAGAAAUAGAGAGAAAGAUAAAAAAGACGAGAUAGAAAUCUUAGAAUCUCACUAAGGCCUUCUAUUCUAUAAAUUUCACCUAGAAAAAAAUUAACAAUCUCACUAUUGAGAAUUACAAGGUAUGCAAAGACAAGCUUAAUAUUAUUGAACAUAAAUACUUAAUCACGUUUUAUGCCAAUUAGCCUCAUUUACAAGCUUUCGAAAACCUUGGAAUUUGAAUAGAAUUAUGAGAAAGUGAACCUAACCUAUGUGGUAGCUAAUUAGGAUUUUUACUUUUUUCCUAAAACCAUUAAAUCUUUGAAAAGAGAUUAAAAGAAAUUAGAAACAUUAUUUUUACAAUUAGAAACUUAUUUUAUAGAAACUUCUAAUAAAGUUUCGAAUAAGAAGACCUUUAGAUUCUAAAGACUCAAAAUAGGAACUUUUAAAAAAAGAGAUUAAUUUAGAAAAUAAAAAGUUAAAAACUUCUUUUAAGGAGAAUUCUAAAACUUUCCAAAUUCUAACUAAAACUCAACUUACUACUAACUCAUUAGAAUAAUAGAGAACCUAAAAAUACGAAAUUACCUAAACACCCUUGAUAGAGUCAUUUAGGAUUCUUUAUUUCCUUUCAUUUCUUUCUUAAAAAGACCUUUGAGAUGCAUCCUCAUCAAAGUCACCCUCAAAACUAUUAGUCUAUUCCUGUAGUUAUUAAUAUCAAUUCUUUCCAUAUAACAGUGACUUCUUGUGCUUUGAUCACAUCUAUGACAUCAAUUUAACAAUGUGCAAUACGAUCAACCCAUUGCUGCCACAAAACCCGUGAUCCAAAACCAACACAAAUGCAUAAGCGUCCAGCUGCAUCAAACAACCAUCAUUAGAACUAACAAAGCCAGCAUCAUGACUCCAUACUUGCAUGCCCAACCGGCAUUAACAGUCAACCAUCCACAGGACCACAACAACAAACAAGUUUCUAAGUUACUUGUAAACACACGACAAGGAAUGCUACAGUGCUUAGAUUGCUGUUCCAGUAGGGGCAGUGUUGUGGAUGCAGCUAGCAAACAUCCAAAAUUUCAUUUGAAAAGGAAACAUUGGAACAACUACACAAAAAUCAAAGCAACUAAUAUCAAUAGAACAAUGGAAUUUUAUUUUUGGGGUAUCAUACCUUUUCAUCAGGAUUUUUCUCAGUUUCAUCAUCAUCCUCAAAAAAGGAUAAACCAAUGUCAGAAAUGUGCCUUCUAAUGCUUAAAUAGGCUUCUACACCAACCAUUACUCUCUCAAUCUCCUCAGGAACUUGCUGCACAUAGAUAUGCUUUGUCACCAAAUGGAGAGAGCUAACAGAUUUGUAUUUAAAUGCAUCAAUAACUAAAACGAUGAGACCAUACAGAAUAUGAAUUUGGAGUAGAGGUGAAAAAAGGGAAGAGCAGCCUCAAAAUUAAACCACUAAUGAAAACAUUCAGUUUCCAGCACCCUUCAGGAAUGAUGUAAGCAGAACCCAAAAGAAUGAGCCAACUACCAGUAGAGAGGCAGGCAACACCAUAUCAAUAGACCCUACCGUUCCAUAAGCAUGCUAUCAUGCAAUAAAUCAACUUGUUCUCUAGAUGUUUGAUGAUUCAAACACCCAAAUCUUUUCUUGUUUCUUGCAAUAGAUUGUUACCAUUAAUAAAUUCCAAUAAGAACUCAUCAAUAAUUAUAUCAGCUUUUGAAUGCAUCAGAAAAUAAAUAUUUGAUCCAGAAGCAUUUUAAUCAACAAGAAGAGGAAGAAGAAGAAGCAAUGAAAAAGAUAGAAUCUUUUGAAAUAAGCAAUUUAUCCUUCUUAAGAAUGCAGACAGAAAACAAACAAAUUAUUUACCAACUACCACAAAAAUAACAUUACCUCAACAAGUUCUGCACCUCCCCAAGGGAGGCAAGACAAAAUGCAAGUUAUAUAAAAGUCAGCACAUGCUUGCCAAGAGGGAUUUCCUUUCUCUUCAUCCACUGUUGUAGCAGCCGAUGAUAAUAAUGUUUCAAAUACAACCACUAAAGGACCAGGUUGGAUAACUUUACUGCACAUCUGUAGAUAAUAAAAGACCACACCAAAUUACCACGUUUAAUAUAUAUAUAUAUAUAUAUAUAUAUAUAAAAUAAAAAAACUACAUAUAAGCAACCAGCUGAGAAUUGGAAUGCAGAGGAUAAUUUGUUUCCCCAAAGUCCUGACAACUAUCAAGCACUGCAUUGGAAUGCACAUGAAGAUUUUACAAAUGUAAAUAUAUGUGUGUGUGUGUGUGUGUUUCUUUACUGCCCAUGCACUUUCCAGAUGACAGCCAAAAUACAAACUUUCUAGGUGUUGCCAAGGGAACAUCCCUGUUAGAGAGAUAACUUGCACAGGCAUUGCUUAAGAAUAUUAAGUGCACUGCCUAAGUUUUUAUACGUAAGCAUGUAAUAGGAAAUGUAACAACAUUAUGAUCCUUUAUAAGCCAGAGGCACAAGAAAAAAGAGAUGUCACAAGAACACAAAAUUAGCAACCAAACACUGCUCCCAAAUGCAAAACCCCAGCCUAGAAGUCUCUCUCUCUCUCUCUCUCUGGGUAACCUGUAGACUUCAGAAAAAUCAAGAGGAACUUCAUGUGGUCCAGUGAGGGGGAAGGGACCCGAGAUGACAUGGUUGGAUGGAGUCAGGUGCAUAAAAUAGGGACGGUUUUCUCCAAGGUGAGUUGCUGCAACAGUUCCACAGGGAACGCAAGUCUUUAUGGUGUAAUGCCAUCAGUGCAUAAUGAAUUGCAUAGCAAUGUAUGGGAUGCCAAUACUGCAGUAAGGACACCUCAUUUACAAAGGGACAGCUUCUCUUCGUCUAUUUGGAAGCUUAUUUUGUAGGCUUUCAUUUCCUAUCCUUGUUUCCCUCAAAGAAUUUCUCAUCCUUUUUCUGCAUAUUGGCUUGGAAGGCUGCUCCUUUGUGCUUAUUUUGGACUAUUUAGAGAGAGAAAAUUAGGAGAGUUUUGGUGCCUUGGUGCCUUUUGCACAUCACGUAUGCUUUUGUUAGGCGUUGUUAGUAUAAUUGGUCUUUACCUAUUAAAAUAAAAACAUUUUUUCUACAUGUUCUUCCACAUUUUGGUAUUUUAAUGAGAUUUCAAAUGUCUAGAAAAACAAGGAUUCCAUUAAGGAUUAAGUCAUGCUAACCUAAAAGAGUCUCUUUGACCAUGGAGGGUAACACCCAAACUACACCAAACAAAGAGAAGAGAAACCACCAUGAAAACCUUGUUUUGACACAAUGAUGGAGAAUGUAAUCAACCGAUUCCUCUUAACCUUUACAAAGAAAGCAUUUAUUCAAGAAGGAAACAGCCACAACCUAAAUCAAAGCAAGUCCAAGACUCGGAUCCCAUAAUAAGUACUGAAUUGUUCCCUUCUAAUUUGCCUUCUUUGAAGGUCAAGAACAUACUGGAAAAUGAUAGUACCCAUGAUGAUCAUUUUUUUUUUUUUUUUUUUGAUAGGAAACCACACUAGAAUAUAUUGAUAGAAAAGAAGUACAAAAGGAGGAUGAGAAAUCCUCCCUCCAAAAGAAAACUAGACAACAAGAAAAAAUAACAAAGCACUAGACCGUCCCAAUAGAACUAUUUGAACAACACACUGAUAGCCAAUCAAGUUGUAGUACGUUAAGGGGGGUGCCCUUAAAACCCGCUGAACAAAACGCCCAAAGGGACGCAAGGAAAUGAAUGGAAUCCCAAAGAUUCCCUGCAUUCCUAGCCUUGUCCUCAAAUAUCCUAGCGUUUCUUUCACGCCACACAACCCAGAUUAACGCUAUACUCGCGUUUUGCCAUAGAAUUACCCCUCUCUUGGACUUGCCAAAUCCUUUGUAAUUGAUGAACAUCAUGUCUGAAAUGCUUUUCGGAGGAACCCAAUCCAUCUUGGCUAGCUGAAAAAGUCUGUGCCACAACCCCAACAUAACUGAGCAAUGAAGGAAGAGAUGAUCUGCUGAUUCUCCUUGUUCCAUACACAACUUACAUAUGUCAGGGCUAAUAGCUUUGUGGGGUCUCCUCAAUUGUAACGAGUCAUUGGUAUUCACCUUCUUAUGUGCCACAAGCCAGAUAAAGGCCUUAACUUUGAAAGGGACUUGAGAUUUCCAAACAAACUAAGUGGGGAAAAAUGGAGAUGAAUCAGGCAUUUGGGACAGGGCUGUAAAGAAAGAUCUGACUGUGAACAAACCUGAAGAACAUAAGGACCAUGAUCUCGCGUCUGAAGCUGAAGUGGAUAAGUUCAUACAAUCUAGAGAGUGCAUGAGGCGCUCUAGAUCUUCUAUCUCAGAAUCGGUUAGAUUACGACGGAAAUUAAAGUUCCAUGAGAAAGGGCGAGACGAACCAAGGAUUGAAGAUAUUGGAAUAUUUUUAUCCAUUACUACUCGAAAUAGUCUUGGAUAUUGGUCUUUUAAAAUUUGGUCCCCCCACCACAAAUCUUCCCAAAAGCGAAUUCUUUCCCCAUCUCCUACGAUAAACCGAGUAUACUUGGAAAAAUCCUGAAAGCCUUGUGCUAUGGCCUUCCAAGGACAGCGGUGUGACCAUCUGACUAUAGUAUUGGCAUCCCAACCAUUUGAGUGUGUCCCAUAUAUGUUAAGAAUGACUUGAUGCCAAAGAGAUGUACUCUCCCUAGAGAACCUCCACAACCAUUUCCCUAGAAGAGCACGAUUCCUUAAAGGAAUUUUCCCAAUCCCCAAACCUCCUAUAAUCCUCGGCUUGCAUACUGCUUCCCACCUAACAAGAUGAUCUCUUUUACCUUCCCCAACCCCUGACCAUAGAAAGUCCCUUUGUAACCUCUCUAUUUUUGCAGCCACUGAAGCUGGAAUCUUAAACAAAGAAAGGAAGUAGCUUGGGAUAUGGGAAAGGCAAGAGUGUAGGAGAGUCCCCAUGAUGAUCAUCGUAUGCGAGUAUUUAGAUUUGUUGAUUGCCAUUAGGAAAGGGAUCAGAAAAUGCACUACUCAACAUCGUAUCUCCAACUUCAUUUCAUUCGAUAGGUUGUCACCAUCUCAUAAAGUCUUCCUAUGUGAAUUAAAUCCCAUUGAUAUUCCAAAAAUAUUCCAAGAAGUACUUAGAAAUGAGAAUUGGAGGAAAGCAAUGUAUGAGGAAAUGAGAGCACUUGAAAAUAUCAAACAUGGGAGGCUGUUGAGCUUUCUAAGGGGAAGAGAUGAAUUUGGAGUAAGUGGGUGUUCACUGUGAAAUAUAAGGCAGAUGGAACUUGUUGAAAUUUGGCAUUCAAAGUUAGGGUUUUAAUUUAGGAAAGUAUUUUAGGAAUAAAAAAAGAGAGAUCAUUUAGGAUAUUUCCUUAGGAUUCAGUUUCCUAAUUUUUAGGAGAGAAUCAAGCUAGAUUGAUAUUUUCUUAUUCAGUCAUUUGUGUAUAUAUAUGUGUAUGGUGUUUACCGAAUAAAUCAAUAAAGGAAUUCAGAAAUUCUUCAUGAUAUCAGAGCCAGUUUUCUGAAACCCUAAUCCCUUCUGGCCGCCUCUUAUUCAGGCCAUCAUUCAUUUCGGCCAAGUCUCUCUGGCCAUCUCUCAAUCUGACCAUCUCUCUCUCUGGCCAUCUCUCAUUCCGGCCAUCAGUCCCUGUUCUCAGAGCCAAGGGAGAAAAACCGAAAUCGUCGUUAGAAAACAUUCACCGCCGGCGACUUUUCCGGCGACGUCUUUUUCCCACACCGCAAGGAGCGCCUGGAGGAGAUCUCCAAUUUUUCCCAAAGCACCGGAGCCAGAAAACCACCCACGCGCCGGCCACGCGCGUUUUUUCCGGCCGACGUGUGAGGGCGCGUGAGCCACUUUCCGGCGACGCGCUUCCUCCUCCAGCCUCGCCUAACGCCGACUAGCCACCCUUCAUACUUGUUUCUGCCAUCCUAGCCCUGCACGUGCCUCUUUUGGGGUUCUUUUGCCUCCACGGGCCCUCCGAACAGUUUUUCCGGCGUCCUCCGGCUAUUUUUUCUCAACCCCAAUCCCUGCACGUGCCUUGGGAAGUGUUCUUCUACCUUUCCGGUGGUGCCACGGUUGUUUUUCUUUUCCAUUAGGCCGGUAUCUCUGGUUUUCUCCUCUUCCCACUUUCCAGCAACCAUAUUCGGCUUUCUUCCUCAUCUCCAUGACAAAAUACGGAAUGGCAUCAUCACAAAUAUCCAGCGUCACGGCAUCAGAAUCAGGGGGCAGUUCUAAAAUUCCAAACCUUGGUGGCAGUGAUUCCUCUCCUAUUCUCAUCACAGGACACAAAUUAAAUGGCCAUAACUAUUUACAGUGGUCACAAUCUGUGUUGCUGUUCAUUUGCGGUAAAGGAAAGGAUGAGUACCUCACUGGAGAAGCAGUCAUGCCAGAAACUACAAAACCGAGUUUCAGGAAGUGGAAGAUUGAAAACAGCAUGAUCAUGUCAUGGCUUAUCAAUUCCAUAAACAAUGACAUAGGUGAAAAUUUCUUGCUGUUUGGGACUGCAAAGGACAUAUGGGAUGCAGCCAAAGAAACUUACUCAAGUUCUGAAAAUACUUCAGAACUUUUUCAGGUUGAAUUAGCCCUACAUGACUUCCGCCAAGGAGAGCAGUUAGUUAGUCAGUAUUACAACACACUCACAAGGUAUUGGUAGCAACUUGACUUAUUCGAGACUCACUCAUGGAAAUGUUCGGAUGAUGCAGCAACAUACAGGCAAAUUGUGGAACAAAAGACAUUGUUCAAGUUUUUCCUAGGACUAAACAGGGAAUUGGAUGAUGUUAGAGGCUGAAUCAUGGGCAUUAAACCCCUACCAAGUCUCAGGGAGGCUUUUUCAGAAGUUAGGCGUGAAGAAAGUAGAAAGAAAGUGAUGAUGGGAUCCAAAGAGCAACCUGCCCCAACAUUGGAUGCCUCUGCCCUUGCUGCUUGGUCAUUUAAUAGUAGUGGUGGAGAUCGUCAGAAACGGGAUAGGCCUUGGUGUGAUUAUUGUAAGAAACUAGGCCAUUAUAAGGAGGCUUGCUGAAAGCUUCAUGGCAAACCGGCUGAUUGGAAACCAAAGUCACGGUUUGACAGAGAUGGCAGAGCACACAUGGCUGCCAACUCUGAGAACACAUCUGUUCCCCAGUCGAGUCCAUUCAACAAAGAGCAUAUGGAGAUGCUACAGAAACUAUUAAGCCAAGUUGGCAGUGGCAGUACUACCGGGAUAGCCUUCACUGCUAAUCGAGGAGGAAUGAAGCCGUGGAUAAUAGACACAGGUGCUUCUGAUCACAUGACAGGAGAUGUUGCCAUUCUUCAAAAUUACAAGCCAAGUAAUGGUCAUUCAUCCGUCCAUAUUGCUGAUGGUUCAAAGUCAAAAAUUGUCGGGAUAGGUUCUAUAAAACUUACUAAAGACUUGUAUCUUGACUCUGUCCUCCAUGUUCCAAACUUGGAUUGUAAUCUUUUGUCCAUUAGCAAAUUGGCCUAUGAUCUCCAAUGUGUUACUAAAUUUUAUCCAAACUCGUGUGUUUUUCAGGACUUGAAAUCGGGGAAGAUGAUUGGCAGUGUUAAACUGUGUUCCGGGCUCUACCUCCUCCCAUGUGGCCAAUUCUCAAACCAAGUCUCUCAAGCAAGUUGCGUACAGUCUUAGAGUAUCUUAGAGUCUUUCAAUUCUGUGUCAAUAUCUAAGGUCAAUAAAGAUAGUGAGAUUAUAAUGUUACACUAUCGCCUUGGUCAUCCUAGCUUUGUUUACCUUGCAAAAUUGUUUCCCAAAUUAUUUAUCAAUAAAAAUCCAGCAUCUUAUCACUGUGAAAUUUGUCAGUUUGCAAAGCAUACUCGAACAGUAUAUCCUCAAAUCCCAUACAAACCUUCGACUGUUUUCUCUUUAGUACAUAGUGAUGUGUGGGGACCCUCACAGAUAAAAAAUAUUUCUGGCACUCGAUGGUUUGUGACAUUCGUUGAUGAUCAUACACGGGUAACAUGGGUUUUCCUUAUGAAAGAAAAGUCAGAGGUCGGGCACAUUUUUCAAACCUUCAAUCUUAUGGUUCAAAAUCAAUUCAAUUUCAAAAUUCAAGUCCUCAAGUCAGAUAAUGCAAAGGAAUAUUUUACUAGUAGUCUCAGUACUUAUCUUCAAAAUCACGGCAAUAUCCACAUAAGUUCUUGCGUUGACACCCCACAACAAAAUGGGGUGGCUGAACGCAAGAAUAGACAUCUCUUGGAGGUUGCCCGAUGCCUUAUGUUUUCCUUUAAUGUUCCAAACUAUUUCUGGGGGGAAGCCAUUCUCACAGCUACCUAUUUGAUUAACCGUAUGCCAUCCAAAGUGCUUACCUUUCAAUCCCCACGUCAACUUCUCUUAAAAAAAUUCCCUCACACCCGUGCAGCCUCUUCUGAUUUACCACUCAAAGUAUUUGGUUGCACGGCAUUCAUUCAUGUGUAUCCUCACAAUCGUAGCAAAUUGCUCCUCGAGCCAAUAAGUGCAUUUUCCUAGGGUAUUCUCCAACUCAAAAAGGGUAAAAAUGCUAUUCUCCAACCAACAAAAGAUUUUGCACCACCAUGGACGUCUCUUUCUUUGAACAUGUCUUCUUCUAUCCCAAAUCUCAUGUUCAGGGGGAGAGCAUGAAUGAACAUCAAGUUUGGGAGUCUCUUCUUGAGGCUGUACCUUUUUCUCACUCAGAGUCACCAAAUCCUUCCCAAUCCGCGCCCACUGAGUUGUCCACACCCAUGCUGUCAUCAGUCCAAUCAGCCCAGCCCACAAAUGUUCCUUCUCCCGUGACCAUCCAGUCUCCCAUGCCCAUUCAACCUAUAGCCCCACAACUUGCUAAUGAGAACUUACAAGUUUACAUCAGGAGGAGGAAAAGACAGGAAUUAGAGCACGGAUCACAGCCAACAUGUGGCCAAUAUAUUGACUCCAUUUCAAGUCUCCCUGAAGAGAACAUAGGUGAGGAUAGGGCUGGAGAGGUGUUAAUUCCCAGCAUUGAUGAUUCUACUCUGCCGAUUGCAUUGAGGAAGGGUGUUAGGAGAUGUACAAAUCAUCCAAUUGGGAAUUAUGCUACGUAUGAAGGGCUAUCACCAUCUUACAGAGCAUUUGCUACUUCUCUUGAUGAUACUCAGGUUCCCAACACAAUACAAGAGGCAUUCAAAAUUUCAGAAUGGAAGAAGGCAGUACAAGAUGAGAUUGAUGCACUUGAGAAGAAUGGGACAUGGACUAUCACAGAUUUGCCGGUUGGGAAGAGGCCCAUGGGGUGCAAGUGGAUUUUCACCAUAAAAUACAAAGCAGAUGGAUCAGUCGAGAGAUUCAAGGCUCGUUUGGUAGCUAGAGGGUUUACACAAUCCUAUGGGAUAGACUAUCAAGAGACUUUUGCUCCUGUUGCAAAACUGAACACUAUCAGGAUUCUUCUCUCAUUGGCUAUCAAUCAAGAUUGGUGCUUGCAACAACUGGACAUAAAAAAUGCGUUUCUAAAUGGUGACCUAGAAGAGGAAGUCUACAUGGAAAUACCACCUGGUUUCGAAGGAAGUAUGGCAAAGAAUCAGGUUUGCAAACUCCAAAAAUCCUUGUACGGCCUUAAACAAUCUCCCCGAGCCUGGUUUGAUAGAUUCACAAAGGCAGUAUUGAAGCUGGGCUACAAACAAGGUCAGGCUGAUCAUACUCUAUUUGUCAAGAAGUCUCAUGCCGGGAAAAUGGCCAUAUUGAUAGUCUAUGUCGAUGAUAUUAUUCUAUCUGGGAAUGAUAUGAGGAAUUACAGAAUUUGAAGAAGUAUUUGUCAGAAGAGUUUGAAGUUAAAGACCUUGGAAAUUUGAAAUAUUUCCUUGGUAUGGAAGUGGCUAGAUCAAGAAAGAGAAUUUUAGUCUCUCAAAGAAAAUACAUACUCGAUCUUCUUAAGGAGACCGGUAUGCUUGGAUGCAAACCAAUUGAUACUCCUAUGAAUAGUCAGAAGAAACUUGGUAUCGAGAAAGAGAAUACACCGGUAGACAAGGGGAGAUAUCAACGACUCGUCGGGCGCUUGAUUUAUCUCUCACACACUCGACCAGAUAUUGGCUUUGCAGUAAGUGUUGUAAGUCAAUUCAUGCACAGCCCCACUGAGGAACACAUGGAAGCAGUCUACAGGAUUCUUAGAUAUUUAAAAAUGACACCAGGGAAAGGUCUAUUCUUUAGAAAGACAGAGAAUCGUGACACUGAAGUAUACUUAGAUGCGGAUUGGGCAGGAAACAUCAUUGACAGGCGGUCCACUUCUGGAUACUGUUUUUUUGUCUGGGAAAUCUUGUUACCUGGAGGAGUAAGAAGCAAUCAGUUGUAGCCAGAAGUAGUGCAGAAGCUGAGUAUAGAGCUCUAGCACAGGGAAUCUGUGAAGGGAUUUGGAUAAAAAGGGUUCUUAGUGAACUGGGACAAACGAGUUCAUCUCCGAUUCUGAUGAUGUGUGAUAAUCAGGCAGCUAUAAGCAUAGCAAAGAACCCCGUGCAUCAUGACAGGACCAAACACGUUGAGAUUGACAGACACUUCAUCACAGAGAAGGUGACUAGUGAGACGGUUAAAUUGAACUACGUUCCUACCAAGCACCAAACCGCAGACAUCCUCAUCAAAGCUUUACCUAAGCCUAACUUCGAAGACUUAACUUGCAAGCUGGAAUUAUAUGAUAUAUAUUCUCCAGCUUGAGGGGGAGUGUUGAAAUUUGGCAUUCAAAGUUAGGGUUUUAAUUUAGGAAAGUAUUUUAGGAAUAAAAAAGGAGAGAUCGUUUAGGAUAUUUCCUUAGGAUUCAGUUUCCUAAUUUUUAGGAGAGAAUCAAGCUAGAUUGAUAUUUUCUUAUUCAGUCAUUUGUGUAUAUAUAUAUGUGUAUGAUGUGUACCGAAUAAAUCAAUAAAGGAAUUCAGAAAUUCUUCAGAACUUAGAAAGAUUUAAAGUUGUGUUGGUGUCUAAGGGAUGUGUUCAAACAUAUGGGGUCGAUUACCAAGAAUUCGUCAUAACAACAGCUUGAUGUCAAUAACACUUUCUUACAUGGUGAUUUGGAGGAGUAGGUUUAUAUGGAAACUCCACUAGAAUUUGAGGGAAAUCUCACUAACAUCCAUGCAUGCCAACCUAAUAAUGACUAUAUGGACUCAAGCAAUCUCCCAAGGCUUGGUUUUGGCGAUUUACUAAAGUCAUGUUGAAAAUGAAAUAUCAGUAGAGUUAAGGAGACCAUACCCUGUUUAUUAAACACUCAACCUCAAGAAAGCUGACUUCUUUUAUUGUUUAUGUAGAUGACAUAAUAGUUACUAGUGAUGAUCUAGAGAGAUGGAACAACUAAAAAGACACCUAGCUGAAAAGUUUGAGAUCAAAGAUAUUGAAAGAUUCAAGUAUUUCUAAGAGAUCAAGUUAGUUCAUACGAAGAAAGGUAUCUUUAUAUCAGAACAAAAGUAUGUAAUUGAUCUUCAAAAAAAAAAAAUCGGGAAGUAAACCAAUGAACACAUCAAUUGAAUCAAAUCACAAACUUGGUGAUGAUAAAAAGGAGACAAUGGUUGAUUGGGGAAUGUAUCAAAGGAUAAUUAGGAAACUUAAAUACUUUUUUUUUUUUUGAUAAGUAAUUAGGAAGCUUAUAUACUUAUCUCAAACUAGACUAGAUAUAUCCUAUGUCGUAACCAUUGUUAGUCAAUUUGUGCAUUCACUAAGAGAGCCAUCUAGAAGCAUUGUAUAGAAUUCUCCGAUAUUUGAAAUUCACUCCUAGGAAGGGUAUUCUCUUCAAGAAAAAUAGAGAACUAGGUUUGGAAACAUACAUAGUUUGUAGAUUGGGCAAGCUUAGUCAUAGAUCAAAGAUCCACAUCAGGGUACUAUACACUCUUAGGCAGUAAUGUAGUUACAUGGAGAAGUAAGAAACAAGUUGUGAUACCCAAAUUGAGUGUAGAGGCAAAAUAUCCAUGGCGUAAAGGAUUUGCAAAUUUCUUUGGUUGAAGAUUGCUUUAAAGGAUCUCAAAGUCAAAUGGGAAGGACCUAUGAGGUUAUAUUGUGAUAAUAAAUCAGUCAUUAACAUCACACACAAUCCCAUCCAACAUGAUCGCACUAAGUACAUGGAAGUGCAUAGACAUUUUAUCAAUGAAAAUCUCUUCCUUCUUCUUCUUUACCCUUUUUUUAAUUUUGAAUUGGAAUCUAACAAAAAAAAAGGUGUUUCUCUUCAAUAGGUAAAAGGAAAAUAUAUUAAUAUAGGCAUCUACAAAAAAAAAGGGCACACCCUAUGUAAAUAAGUGGCAUAAAACAGGCACCAAAACAUAAAUAAAUAUAACUACACAACCACCCGACAAAAGCAAAGCCAAAUCUUAUUUGCAAUGCUAAUAGCCAAUGGGAUAGUGGAUAAGGAAAGACGCUCUAGAGAGGAAGAGACAGUUUUCAAAAUUGCUUUUGAAAAGAUUUGUGAUCAUGUGGAGUAAAGUUUUCUAAACCAUGCACUUGAAAGGAAGGGGUUUGGUUCUAGAUGGAGGACUUGGAUGAAAGGUUAUUUCUCUUCGGCAACUUCUGCAAUCUUAAUGGAUGGAAAUGCUAAAGAUUGGGUCAAAGCAACUAGAGAUCUAAGACAAGGAGAUCCAUUGUCCCUUUUCCUCUUUACCAUUGUAGUUGAUGCGAUAAGUAGGAUGUUGUUGAGAGCUAAGGAGAGCAGGUUAUUAGAAGGCUUCAUUGUGGGCAAGAGUAAGACUAAUGUGUCUCAUUUGCAAUUUGCAGAUGGCGCCAUCUUUUUCUAAAGCCUAUUCAAAAUAUUUGCAAAAUUUUAAGAUAAUUUUGUUAGUUUCGGACACAUAUCUAGACUUAAGAAAAAUCUUGAUAAGACUACUCUCCCUGGCAUCAACAUGGGUUAGGAUCAAAUCACUAGGUUGGCCUUGUUGCUUGGUUGUAAGGCCUCUGGUUGGCUUCUCCCUUAUUUGGGUCUCCCACUACGGGGGAACCCACGGCAUGUGUUUUUUAGGAUCCAGUGAUGAGAGAAUUUCGCGAAGAUUAGAUGGGUGGAAAAAAGUCUUUUCAUCAUUAGGUGAAAGAAUAACUCUUAUCCAAUCAUGCUUGUCUCAUAUCCCUAGCUAUUUUCUCUCCUUUUUUAAGAUGUCUUCGUUAGUGGCGUUAAAGAUCGAGACAUUGCAAAGGACUAGGGAGCACAAGAGACACCAUCUCAUUAGUUAGGACCUAGUGUGUAAGUCUAAGGAAGAAAAGGAUUUAGGGUUUGGGAAGAUUUCUCUAAGGAAUCAUAUUUUACUACGGAAAUGGCUAUGUAGGUUUCCUAGGGAAAGUUUUACUCUUUGGUAUUAAGUUAUUCUAAGCAUCUAUAGGACACAUUCUAAUGGGUAGGAUGCCAACAUUAUAGUCAUGUGGUCACAUCGUUGUCCUUGAAAGGUCAUUGCACAAGUCCUUUAGGAUUUUAUCAAGUACACUAGUUUUGUAGUGGAUGAUUAGGCAAAAAUUUGUUUUUGAGAAGAUUUGUGAUGAGGGGAUUAACCUUUGUGUUCUCAAUUCCCAAGUCAAUUCAAAAAUUUCAUAAUUAAAAACCUUCAUAUCUCAUCUAUUCUUGGCUUCACUUACCCUUUCUCUUAGAACUUUUAAUUUUCGUCGUAACCUUUCUAAUUUGGAGAUGGAAAAUCUUGAAAGACUCGUGUCCUCUCUUACUUCUUUGUAUUUAUCUCCAUCCAUUCCAAAUGCGAUAGCCUAGUGAUUAUCUCCAUCAAGAGUAUUUAUAGUAAAGUCAUUUUUUUUAGUCUUGUCCAAUCAAUUUGAUCUGGUUUAGUUCUUUCCAACUAAUUUUAUUUAGGAAUCUUUUUUUUUUUAAAGUAAAAGCAAUUGUAUUAAGAUUGUCUAAAGGAGCACCCAAAGGAAUACACGAUGUAUGCAAUGCGUCAAGCCCAAAAAGUGGAAAACACUAACACCAUCAACUUACUUACAACCCAACCAAUCAAUGAAAUCUAAUUAAGACCAUGAGCUAAAACCUACAUGCUAAUCUAAAAAGAUAUACAAAAAGGAUCGUAAAAUAGUUUGGUUCGCCAACUUGGAAUCUUCAAAGGCUCUUCUAUUUCUCUCCUUCCAUAAGGUCCAAAGUAAGCACAAAAAAGUUGCAUUCCAAACUCUUUUUCUUUUAUUCCCAAAAAAGGAGCCAUGUCAGCUAAGUAUGGCAUCCUUGAUUGAAGAAGGCCCUUGAACACCAAAAAGAGCAAAAAUAAGAUGUCAAAUUAUGGUUGCCUUAGGACAGUGAAGAAGCAAAUGAUUUGUUAAUUCCUCCUCUCCCUUACAUACAUAGCACCUGCUUGGUAAAAACCAGCCCCUCCUUUUUAACUACUCUAAAGUUAGAAUUCUCCCCCAAACAAAAAAACUAACCCUCUUCGGGACCCAAGGAUUCCAAAUUAUGCCAGAAGGGAACACCCUAGCAUUGCAAAAAAGGCUAGAGAGGAGUAGAAGGAUUUAAUUGUAAAGAGGCCUUUCUUCAAAGCGCGCCAAGUCAUGAUAUCAUCAUCCCCCCUUCUAAGCACCUGACCUUGCAGCCUUCUAAAAACUUCCACCUCUCUCAUUUCCCAAUCAUUGCAAAAAUCUAGGGAGGAUUUAGGAAUCUAAAGUUUCGUCUAAGCCCAAGACCUUCACUUGACUUGUGGCACACAAAAAGGUAAACACUAAUGACAUGUUAGAGUUGAGAAGAUCCUACAAAACCCUUAAUACUAAUGUUUACUUGUUGUGUAUGGAGAGUGGAGGAAUGGUGGAUAAUAUUUUCUUACAUUGUCCAAUGACUAUAGGGUUAUGACACAAACUUUUCAUAUCAGCUAAGUUGGAUUGGGUUCCUCCUAGGAGUAUUUGUGAUAUGAUGAUCAUCUCCUAUAAGCGAUUAGGAAGCUCCAUUAGAGGCAAGGUUCUUUGCAAAACUGCUUGUCUCACUUUGAUUUGGGUUCUUUGACGAGAAAGAAAAGCUAGGAUUUUUUAAGACAAGGCCAAGACUUCAAAGGCUCUUUGGGAUAUCAUUCAUUUCUUUGCCUUCUUUGGGCUUCUUGCACCACAGCAUUUAUGAGCAUUCCCCUUAAUAUGGUCCCGCAUGAUUAGUUUUCAAUGUGUAGUUCGAAAGGUGUGGGUUAGCAAGGAGAGGUUGCUUGGAAGGAAAUUAUUCAAAUAAUAGAGCUAGGAGUUUUUUUUUAUAUAUAUAUAUAUUCUCAUGUGGUACUUACCUAUUGUAUAGGUUUACUAAGUACUUUAGAUGUUUGAACAUACUUUUGAUUAGUUGGUUGUAUUUUGGGAGGAUUCCUCAUCUUCCUUUUGUAUUUCUUUAUCCGUAAUUUAAUACAUUUGUUUGUUUUUUAUCAAAAAAAAAAAAAAAAAAGCAAAGCCAAAACCAACUAUCCACGGUUUUAGACUAUCAAUGAAAGCCACAAACACAUUUAUAGAGUAAGUACUUGCAUUGACAAUUUGUUGAUUUGAUCCCUAGAUUUUAUUAAAAACAAGCUAGGCUGGUAAAUUAGAAACUCUUUUAUUUCUUUCAACUCCAAAAAUCUCUCUAAAUUUGGAGAAAAAUCAAAAUAGUAUAGGAGUUUCUCUUUUCCACUCCUGCUUUUCUCUCCAACAUUUCCUCUUAAAUAGGAGUUAACAAGGAGAACUACCUUUUUUUUUUUUUUUCUAUUCUUGACUACAAAUCACUGAUCCUAAACAGUUUUUAUGUUCACAAUGAACUCUUUGCCUACUUCCAAAACCAUUUUUCAAGUCGUAAAAUUGAUAAUUCAGGGAUGGAAAAACAGCAAUAUAAAAAUACCAUACAUACCAUAACAGUCAGAAACCUCAUCAAAAUACGAAUCCUGUUGCAAUUUCCUGAAUCCAGCGCACCCUGGAAAAUUGAACAUAGAGAGACAGAGAGAGAGGUUACUCCUCAAAUGGUAUGAAUAAGUCCAAACAAGGUUAAAAAAAAUUUCCCUCCCCUAACUUAUUUGUUUCCAAGGUAGCCUCAAUGAACAAUCAUAUGAAACAGUAAGGCCCUUUUCUCCGUGGGAAACUAAAUCACGGGUUCCCAAGUUCAUCGAGGGUAGUUUGCAUAUAUUUCUCCCUAGCGGACCAGACGUCAACAUUAGAAACAUCACACAAUUUCCCAAGCUGACAAAGGCAAACUACUAUUAUCAUUAAUGGUUUUUUUUUUUUUUUCUUUUUUGCUUAGGAGGAAAAGUUAUUAAUUUCUCAUUCCAUAUCUCUAAUCCCACCAAUAAAAGAAUCUCCACUUAUUGUAGCCAACUCAUAUAUCUAGUCCACAACAGUUUUCCUACUUUUCCAUAUUGUGAAUUAUAUAAUAUCCCACGUCAUAAGAUACUUUAAAAUUUUGGUAAAUAGAUAAGAAAGAACGGGCAUACACCUUUAAAUGGACUUAUGUAUAGAUAUAUAUGACAAGAAUAAAGCAUCCAGUAAUAUAUAAUCAAUUUCAUGAAAGAUAAUACUAAAGAUCAAGGGACAAAGAAAUAAAUCCAUCAAUAUCAUACAUACAUAAGCAUUGAGAACUAGAGUUUCCAUAAACCAAAUUUAAGAAAAGUGACAUUUUAUUGCUUUGCAUUGGUUCAUUCAAAAUCCACACCUACUUUCUGAACUUCAAUUUUUUUGGGGGAAAAGAAAUUAUAAUUGUUAUUGUCUUCACAAACUUUUCACUUCAGGUAGUCUCAAUUUGUCUGCCACUAAAUCCUAGUACAUAGGAAAGUUUCAAUUAGUCCCCAAUAAUUGAAAUGCUAUCAUUGUGAAUCUAUACUUGCAGAGACUGCAGAUGUAGAGAUAAUAAAAAGAUUCCAAAGCCACACAAAAAAAACAUCAAGAUGC